CAGUCGCCACGGUAAUGCGUAGGUGGCAAGCGUUGUCCGGAAUUAUUGGGCGUAAAGGGCUCGCAGGCGGUUUCUUAAGUCUGAUGUGAAAGCCCCCGGCUCAACCGGGGAGGGUCAUUGGAAACUGGGAAACUUGAGUGCAGAAGAGGAGAGUGGAAUUCCACGUGUAGCGGUGAAAUGCGUAGAGAUGUGGAGGAACACCAGUGGCGAAGGCGACUCUCUGGUCUGUAACUGACGCUGAGGAGCGAAAGCGUGGGGAGCGAACAGGAUUAGAUACCCCCGUAGUCCCUGUCUCUUAUAC
rnacentral:rRNA from 1 species